rnacentral:snRNA from 1 species
CUUUUGCAUAUCCUGGAAUA